AUUGAACGCUGGCGGCAGGCUUAACACAUGCAAGUCGAGCGAGCGGCGGACGGGUGAAUAAUGUCUGGGACACUGCCUGAUGGAGGGGGAUAACUAUUGGAAACGGUAGCUAAUACCGCAUACCAUCAGAUUUGCCUAGCUGGGAUUAGCUAGUAGGUGGGGUAAUGGCUCACCUAGGCGACGGUCCCUAGCUGGUCUGAGAGGAUGACCGGCGACAGGGGAACUGAGACCCGGUCCAGACUCCUACGGGAGGCGGCAGUGGGGAGUAUUGCACAAUGGGCGAAAGGCUGAUGCCGCAAUGCGGGGUGUGUGGAGAAGGCCUUCGGGUUGUAAAGCACUUUCAGCGAGGAGGGGUUACUCGCAGAAGAAGCACCGGCUAACUACGUGCCAGCAGCCGCGGUAAUAC
rnacentral:rRNA from 1 species